AUGGGGCCCACACACCUCUGCCUGGCGGCCCUGUGUGUCCUGGGAGCAGGCUCUGUGGACACUGAGGUCACCCAGACUCCAGGACAGCUGGUCAGAGGGACAAAACAGAAAGCAAGGAUGGAGUGUGUCCCCAUAAAGGGACAUAAUUAUGUUCAUUGGUAUCGUCUGAAGCUUGGAGAAGAGCUCAAGUUUUUAAUAUACUUCCAAAACAAAGACAUUAUUGAUGCUUCAGGAAUGUCUGAUAAACGGUUUUCAGCUCAGUGUCCCCCAGACUUGCCGUGUAGCAUGGAGAUCGAACCCACGGAGUUGGAGGACUCAGCCGUGUACUUCUGCGCCAGCAGUGAGUCCACAGCGCUGCAGGGUCAGCUGCUUCUGAGACACAAACCCAUCUAA